ensembl:lncRNA
GUGGAAAGCGCGCAGCUGCAGUUCCCCCCGCGUCCUCAGCGCGGCGCAGUCUCCCCGCUGUGCGGGAGUAGGAAGUGCAGCCUGCGGUACAGUGAAUUGAAAGUACGCCAUAAAUAUGGCGCCAAAAGAGUUUUCAAGCUGAUGUUUGAGCUCGUCUCCAGUGCCCUGCGUGUUCUCUCUGAGAGGAGGAGUCCGGCCCGGAGCAGAGCCGAGCCCCGAGCGCUCAGAGCGGCGUGCACUGAGCAGGCACCGCGGACAGGAGCAGCGGAGUGGAGCAGGGGAGCAAUGUUUGAUUUUUGAAGGAGGGACGUUGCGAAAGUCGCUGGCGUUUUUUUCCUGCCUCAGCGUUUGGGAGUAAAGCAUCAUUUUCUUCUUUGCACUUUUGGAGCUGUGUUCACUCGCUGCAUCGCCGGCUCCGGAGAGGGCGCUCAGUUUGGGGGCUUUUUCCUAAAUGCGACAUGCUUUCCUCCCCGCGCCGGGCUGUGGGCACCGCUCCCCCGUGAGGACCGCGGCGGCGUGAGCGUGUUGUUGUGGACUUCUUAAACCUGCGGAUAAAGCGCAGCUCAAACUCCUCUCGCCUGGAUCUUAUCGUUUCGGAUUAAUAUUUUGGACGUCGCGUUUGGGGAGCAGAGCGCUGUCAGGGCACGGAGGAACGAGGAGGGUCGGGUCCUGUCACAACGUGGACACCGUGCGUGUGCAGCCUGCGGGGGGUGUAGCGAGGGACACACACGCACACACACGCGCGCUGAACUACCGCUAACCCCCCAGAAAACUACAUGUCCCUGGCCGCCAAUGAGCUCCUAAUCUCUGGAGCACGUCUCUGCGCCCGGAGCUGACUGCACAACAAGAUGGAGAGCGAGAGGAAGCGGAGGAAAUACUCCACGAGCAGCAUAGACUCUGACACCACUGACAGUCCGGUGACGUCGUGGUCCCGAUCCAAAAACAGCGGCACCAGCAGCACAUGGGUCCGACUGCAGCACAAGAAGCCUUCAGAGCCUGGCUGCUCCCCCUCUGUCCUCUGCUCCGUCUGAUAAUCCGGCGCAGAGACAUUCACGGUAUUUGACUGUAUACGGAAAAAGAAAAGUCCCUUGUAAAGUGUGACUCGUGUCAUGUGAAGCGUGUGAUACAAAUAAGACUCUGCUCCUUCCUCCCUUUGAGACAUUUCAGCCGUCUUUCAAAUGUUAGUGCUCAUGGACACGUUUACAAUCUGUAAGUCUUGAUUUUAAGGCAAGACGCUGC